UACGUAGGGGGCGAGCGUUGUCCGGAGUUACUGGGCGUAAAGGGCAUGCAGGCGGUCGUACGCGUUUCGGGUGACAGCGGGUGGCUUAACUACCCGAGUGUUCGAAAGACGGUACGACUUGAGGGCUCGAGAGGGACACGGAAUUCCGGGUGGAGUGGUGAAAUGCGUAGAGAUCCGGAGGAACACCGAAGGCGAAGGCAGUGUCCUGGCGAGUGACUGACGCUGAGGUGCGAAAGCUAGGGGAGCGAACGGG
rnacentral:rRNA from 1 species